UAAGACACCUCCAGGCGUCUAAGGCAGGCUCCCACUACAAUGUCUUACUGACGAGUCCAGUAGUAGGGGCCGGGACGAAACGCGGCAGUAGAUGACAACAUUACGACUAGGCUCAGAAGGGACCAAAAUAUAAAACUUCUUACAGCUCUCGCGGUCAGUCAGUCUGUCACAUAAUGGUGGAUAAAUGAUCCUGUUGUCUGCUUACAAUUGAAGGAUGAGAACGUAUGGCGAGGACAUAUAAAUUUCAGGAUUCAUGAACUUUUGAACACCGCCACUUCAUUAGAAUAAAGCGGCGGUGCUACGGAGGACGAGAUCUUUAAUAUGUGGGAGCAGGCUAUGGGCGGAAUCCAUAGAUAUUGCUUAAGACUCGAGAUGUUCUGAAGCUAGUGCUUAAGACGUCACGAACUGUAUUAACGUCUUAAGACAUUGCUUCAAUUGAUCUUGAGAUUGAGAACGGACUAUGGAUUCCGGUCUAUAUGUGCCUCCCACAGAAUUAUUUGGAUUGCGGCCCUAUGAGGAUCCAGAGCCGGAAAAUUGGAAUUGUAAGUAUAUUUAUUUAUUUCUUUUCCAUAUUUAUAUUUAUUUGUACAUAUUCACCACAUUUUAAUGUCUUUUGUAUACUUUUCUGAAAUUACUGAGGAUUGUGCUUUAUUAUUAUUA